AAAUACAUAAAAAGUAUUUAAUAAAAUUUAAAGGACGCAGUAACCUUGACUGUGAUAAUGUAGCAUAAUCAUUCGCCAUUUAAUUGAUGGAUAGUAUGAAUGGUUGAACGAAUAUUCCACUGUCUUAGAGAGAAAUUCCAAAAAAUUAAAAUAAUAGUUAAGAUGCUAUUCGAAAUUGUAAGACGAAAAGACCCUAUAGAGCUUAACUACAGUCUCAUUGAAAACAAAAGAAAAAACAUUCUUAAUUUAAAGAGAUAGGUAGUUUAGUUGGGGCGACUAUCUUCUAGAAAUAACGAAGAGAAACAAAGUUAAUAGAAAACUUACUGUAUAAUUUAUAGAUUUAACAGUUACAAAAGUAGGUUAUAAUGACCCGUUGUAAAAUAAUAAUAAAUUCAACGAUCAAUAAAUAAAAGCUACCUUAGGGAUAACAGGAUAAUUUCAUUUUAGAGAUCCUAUCGAAAAUGAAGUUUGUCACCUCUAUGUUGAAUUAAGAUAUCCAGACAAUGCAGAAGUUGUCAAG
rnacentral:rRNA from 1 species